rnacentral:rRNA from 1 species
GGGGAUGAGCUGUGGAUAGGGGUGAAAGGCCAAUCAAACUCUGUGAUAGCUGGUUCUCCCCGAAAUGCAUUUAGGUGCAGCGUUACGUGUUUCUUGCCGGAGGUAGAGCUACUGGAUGGCCGAUGGGCCUUCACGGGUUACUGACGUCAGCUAAACUCCGAAUGCCGGUAAGUGAGAGCGUAGCAGUGAGACAGUGGGGGAUAAGCUUCAUUGUCGAGAGGGAAACAGCCCAGACCACCAACUAAGGCCCCUAAGCGUGUGCUAAGUGGGAAAGGAUGUGGAGUUGCUUAGACAACCAGGAGGUUGGCUUAGAAGCAGCCAUCCUUGAAAGAGUGCGUAACAGCUCACUGGUCAAGUGAUUCUGCGCCGAUAAUGUAGCGGGGCUCAAGUACACCGCCGAAGUUGUGGCAAUGACCCUUUGAGGGUUGUUGGGUAGGGGAGCGUCGUGUAGCCGGUGAAGCUGCGGUGUAAACCAGUGGUGGAGGCUAUGCGAGUGAGAAUGCAGGCAUGAGUAGCGAAAGAUGAGUGAGAAACUCAUCCGCCGGAUGAUCAAGGGUUCCAGGGUCAAGUUAAUCUGCCCUGGGUUAGUCGGGGCCUAAGGCGAGGCCGACAGGCGUAGUCGAUGGAUAACGGGUUGAUAUUCCCGUACCGGUGAAAAACCGCCCAUACUGAUAUUGUGAUGCUAACCAUGCGAAGCAUGAUGUGCAGGCUUUUGUUUGUGUGUUGUGUGGGUUGUGGGACCCGAUCUUUGGAGGUAAACGUGUUAACAGGUGUGACGCAGGAAGGUAGCCAAGCCACGCGAUGGUUGUCGUGGUCUAAGCGUGUAGGGUUGUCGGUUGUUAAAUGCGCCGGCUGUGUGCCUGAGACGUGAUGGGACCCCGUUUUUGGGGGAUUUGGUGAUCCUAUGCUGCCGAGAAAAGCAUCGGCGUGAGGUUUUAGCCGCCCGUACCCUAAACCGACACAGGUGAUCAGGUAGAGAAUACUAAGGCGAUCGAGAGAAUCAUGGUUAAGGAACUCGGCAAAAUGCCCCCGUAACUUCGGGAGAAGGGGGACCUUGAGCGUGAUGGGCACUUGCUGCCUGGAGCGUGUAUGGGUCGCAGAGACCAGGGGGAAGCGACUGUUUAUCAAAAACACAGGUCCGUGCGAAGUCGUAAGACGAUGUAUACGGACUGACUCCUGCCCGGUGCUGGAAGGUUAAGAGGAUUGGUUAGCCUUUUUUUUUGGCGAAGCUGAGAAUUUAAGCCCCAGUAAACGGCGGUGGUAACUAUAACCAUCCUAAGGUAGCGAAAUUCCUUGUCGGGUAAGUUCCGACCUGCACGAAUGGAGUAACGACUUCCCUACUGUCUCAACCAUGAACUCGGCGAAAUUGCAGUACGAGUAAAGAUGCUCGUUUCGCGCAGCAGGACGGAAAGACCCCGUGACCUUUACUAUAGUUUGGUAUUGGUGUUUGGUUUGGCUUGUGUAGGAUAGGUGGGAGACUGUGAAGCAUGGACGCUAGUUUGUGUGGAGUCGUUGUUGAAAUACCACUCUGGUCAAUCUGGAUGUCUAACUUCGGGCCAUGAUCUGGUUCAGGGACAGUGCCUGAUGGGUAGUUUAACUGGGGCGGUUGCCUCCUAAAGUGUAACGGAGGCGCCCAAAGGUUCCCUCAGCCUGGUUGGCAAUCAGGUGUUGAGUGUAAGUGCACAAGGGAGCUUGACUGUGAGACUGGCAGGUCGAGCAGGGACGAAAGUCGGGACUAGUGAUCCGGCGGUACGUUGUGGAACGGCCGUCGCUCAACGGAUAAAAGGUACCUCGGGGAUAACAGGCUGAUCUUGCCCAAGAGUCCAUAUCGACGGCAUGGUUUGGCACCUCGAUGUCGGCUCGUCGCAUCCUGGGGCUGGAGUCGGUCCCAAGGGUUGGGCUGUUCGCCCAUUAAAGCGGUACGCGAGCUGGGUU